AAAGGAAAAGUGAGAUGGUGCUGGAUGGAUGACACUGUAGAGAUUUCUUCCUCCUCUUCUUCAUUGAUGUUGUCUACGGAAUUGGGUCCAGCUCAUUGAUCUCCUCCUUCCAUUGUUUCAGGGUCCAGCGGUAUUAAAGCAGGCUUCAGGAUUUUGUCUCCAACAACUUACAUAUUCUUUGCUUCUGCUAUCCCAGUUAUGUCAUUUGGUGAACAGUUGGACAGGAAUACAGAAAGCAUUUCUGUUUUCUAGAUGGGAUUCUAACAACAGUUCAGACAUUGGCAUCUACUGCUUUGUGUGGGAUUAUACACUAUUAUUGGAGGUCAGCCUUUGCUGAUUCUUGAAGUGGCAGAACCUACUGUGCUUAUGUACACGUUCAUGUUUAACUUUUCCAAAGACAGACCUGAUUUGGGACCAAAACUCU